GCGGGAGUAGCUCAAUUGGUAGAGCGCAACCUUGCCAAGGUUGAGGUCGCGGGUUCGAGACCCGUCUCCCGCU
rnacentral:tRNA from 1 species